GUUAGGAAUAUUGGACAAUGGGCGCAAGCCUGAUCCAGCCAUGCCGCGUGAGUGAUGAAGGCCUUCGGGUUGUAAAGCUCUUUAGCCGAUGAUUAUAAUGACUGUAGUCGGAAAAUAAGCCCCGGCUAACUUCGUGCCAGCAGCCGCGGUAAUACGAAGGGGGCGAGCGUUAUUCGGAAUCACUGGGCGUAAAGCGUGCGUAGGCGGUUUUGUAAGUUGGGAGUGAAAGCCCAGGGCUCAACCCUGGAAUUGCUCUCAAAACUACAAGACUUGAAUUCGGGAGAGGAUAGCGGAAUUGUCAGUGUAGCAGUGAAAUGCGUAGAUAUUGACAGGAACACCAGUGGCGUAAGCGGCUAUCUGGACCGACAUUGACGCUGAGGCACGAAAGCGUGGGGAUCAAACAGGAUUAGAAACCCCGGUAGUCC
rnacentral:rRNA from 1 species